rnacentral:rRNA from 1 species
AUUGAACGCUGGCGGCAUGCCUUACACAUGCAAGUCGAACGGCAGGCACGGGGGCAACCCUGGUGGCGAGUGGCGAACGGGUGAGUAAUAUAUCGGAACGUGCCCUAGAGUGGGGGAUAACGUAGCGAAAGUUACGCUAAUACCGCAUACGAUCUAUGGAUGAAAGUGGGGGAUCGCAAGAUCUCAUGCUCGUGGAGCGGCCGAUAUCUGAUUAGCAGUUGGUAGGGUAAAAGCCUACCAAGGCAUCGAUCAGUAGCUGGUUUGAGAGAACGACCAGCCACACCUGGGACUGAGACACGGCCCAGACUCCUACGGGAGGCAGCAGUGGGGAAUUUUGGACAAUGGGGGCAACCCUGAUCCAGCAAUGCCGCGUGAGUGAAGAA